rnacentral:rRNA from 1 species
AGCAUAUCAAUAAGCGGAGGAAAAGAAACCAACAGGGAUUGCCUUAGUAACGGCGAGUGAAGCGGCAAUAGCUCAAAUUUGAAAUCUGGCGCUUGCGUCCGAGUUGUAAUUUGUAGAGGAUGAUUUUGGUUAGGUACCUUUCGAGUUCCUUGGAACAGGACGCCUUAGAGGGUGAGAGCCCCGUACGAUUGGAUGCCGAGCCUCUGUAAAUCUCCUUCGACGAGUCGAGUAGUUUGGGAAUGCUGCUCUAAAUGGGAGGUAAAUUUCUUCUAAAGCUAAAUACCGGCCAGAGACCGAUAGCGCACAAGUAGAGUGAUCGAAAGAUGAAAAGCACUUUGAAAAGAGGGUUAAAUAGCACGUGAAAUUGUUGAAAGGGAAGGAUUUAUGACCAGACUUUUUCUAGGAGAAUCAUCCGGUGUUCUCACCGGUGCACUUCUUUUAGUUUAGGCCAGCAUCGACUUUCGGCGGUGGAUAAAAGCUUUAGGAAUGUGGCUUCUCUCGGGAAGUGUUAUAGCCUAUUGUAUAAUACACUGCUGGGGGUCGAGGUACGCGCUUCUGCAAGGAUGCUGGCGUAAUGGUUAUCAAUCACCCGUCUUGAAACACGGACCAAGGAGUCGAACAUUUGUGCGAGUGUUUGGGUGUUAAACCCUCACGCGUAAUGAAAGUGAACGGAGGUGAGAGCCCUUACGGGUGCAUCAUCGACCGAUCCUGAUGUUUUCGGAUGGAUUUGAGUAAGAGCAUAAAUGUUCGGACCCGAAAGAUGGUGAACUAUGCGUGGAUAGGGUGAAGCCAGAGGAAACUCUGGUGGAGGCUCGCAGCGGUUCUGACGUGCAAAUCGAUCGUCAAAUCUGCGCAUGGGGGCGAAAGACUAAUCGAACCAUCUAGUAGCUGGUUACCGCCGAAGUUUCCCUCAGGAUAGCAGUGUUGUCUUCAGUUUUAUGAGGUAAAGCGAAUGAUUAGGGACUCGGGGGCGCUAUAUUGCCUUCAUCCAUU